rnacentral:rRNA from 1 species
AGACGGGGCCCGCACAAGCGGUGGAGCAUGUGGUUUAAUUCGAUGCAACGCGAAGAACCUUACCUGGGCUUGACAUCCCGAGAAUCCCCUGGAAACAGGGGAGUGCCCUUCGGGGAGCUCGGAGACAGGUGCUGCAUGGCUGUCGUCAGCUCGUGUCGUGAGAUGUUGGGUUAAGUCCCGCAACGAGCGCAACCCUUGUGUUUAGUUGCCAACAGGUUAAGCUGUGCACUCUAAACAGACUGCCGUGGAUAACACGGAGGAAGGUGGGGAUGACGUCAAAUCAUCAUGCCCCUUAUGAUCUGGGCUACACACGUGCUACAAUGGUCGGUACAACGGGCAGCGAAAGAGUAAUCUGGAGCGAAUCCUAAAAAGCCGAUCCCAGUUCGGAUUGUGGGCUGAAACUCGCCCACAUGAAGUUGGAGUUGCUAGUAAUCGCGAAUCAGAAUGUCGCGGUGAAUGCGUUCCCGGGUCUU